rnacentral:rRNA from 1 species
GACGAACGCUGGCGGCGUGCCUAAUACAUGCAAGUCGAACGGAGAUGAGGCGCUUGCACCUUAUCUUAGCGGCGGACGGGUGAGUAAUGCUUAGGAAUCUGCCUAUUAGUGGGGGACAACAUUCCGAAAGGAAUGCUAAUACCGCAUACGCACUACGGGGGAAAGCAGGGGAUCUUCGGACCUUGCGCUAAUAGAUGAGCCUAAGUCGGAUUAACUAGUUGGUGGGGUAAAGGCCUACCAAGGCGACGAUCUGUAGCGGGUCUGAGAGGAUGAUCCGCCACACUGGGACUGAGACACGGCCCAGACUCCUACGGGGGGCAGCAGUGGGGAAUAUUGGACAAUGGGCGGAAGCCUGAUCCAGCCAUGCCGCGUGUGUGAAGAAGGCCUUUUGGUUGUAAAGCACUUUAAGCGAGGAGGAGGCUACCUGGAUUAAUACUCUAGGAUAGUGGACGUUACUCGCAGAAUAAGCACCGGCUAACUCUGUGCCAGCCGCCGCAGUAA